rnacentral:rRNA from 1 species
GGGUUGUGAGGUUAAGCGACUAAGCGUACACGGUGGAUGCCCUGGCAGUCAGAGGCGAUGAAGGACGUGCUAAUCUGCGAUAAGCGUCGGUGAGGUGAUAUGAACCGUUAUAACCGGCGAUUUCCGAAUGGGGAAACCCAGUGUGUUUCGACACACUAUCAUUAACUGAAUCCAUAGGUUAAUGAGGCGAACCGGGGGAACUGAAACAUCUAAGUACCCCGAGGAAAAGAAAUCAACCGAGAUUCCCCCAGUAGCGGCGAGCGAACGGGGAGCAGCCCAGAGCCUGAAUCAGUGUGUGUGUUAGUGGAAGCGUCUGGAAAGGCGCGCGAUACAGGGUGACAGCCCCGUACACAAAAAUGCACAUGCUGUGAGCUCGAUGAGUAGGGCGGGACACGUGGUAUCCUGUCUGAAUAUGGGGGGACCAUCCUCCAAGGCUAAAUACUCCUGACUGACCGAUAGUGAACCAGUACCGUGAGGGAAAGGCGAAAAGAACCCCGGCGAGGGGAGUGAAAAAGAACCUGAAACCGUGUACGUACAAGCAGUGGGAGCCUCUUUAUGGGGUGACUGCGUACCUUUUGUAUAAUGGGUCAGCGACUUAUAUUCUGUAGCAAGGUUAACCGAAUAGGGGAGCCGAAGGGAAACCGAGUCUUAACUGGGCGUUAAGUUGCAGGGUAUAGACCCGAAACCCGGUGAUCUAGCCAUGGGCAGGUUGAAGGUUGGGUAACACUAACUGGAGGACCGAACCGACUAAUGUUGAAAAAUUAGCGGAUGACUUGUGGCUGGGGGUGAAAGGCCAAUCAAACCGGGAGAUAGCUGGUUCUCCCCGAAAGCUAUUUAGGUAGCGCCUCGUGAAUUCAUCUCCGGGGGUAGAGCACUGUUUCGGCAAGGGGGUCAUCCCGACUUACCAACCCGAUGCAAACUGCGAAUACCGGAGAAUGUUAUCACGGGAGACACACGGCGGGUGCUAACGUCCGUCGUGAAGAGGGAAACAACCCAGACCGCCAGCUAAGGUCCCAAAGUCAUGGUUAAGUGGGAAACGAUGUGGGAAGGCCCAGACAGCCAGGAUGUUGGCUUAGAAGCAGCCAUCAUUUAAAGAAAGCGUAAUAGCUCACUGGUCGAGUCGGCCUGCGCGGAAGAUGUAACGGGGCUAAACCAUGCACCGAAGCUGCGGCAGCGACGCUUAUGCGUUGUUGGGUAGGGGAGCGUUCUGUAAGCCUGCGAAGGUGUGCUGUGAGGCAUGCUGGAGGUAUCAGAAGUGCGAAUGCUGACAUAAGUAACGAUAAAGCGGGUGAAAAGCCCGCUCGCCGGAAGACCAAGGGUUCCUGUCCAACGUUAAUCGGGGCAGGGUGAGUCGACCCCUAAGGCGAGGCCGAAAGGCGUAGUCGAUGGGAAACAGGUUAAUAUUCCUGUACUUGGUGUUACUGCGAAGGGGGGACGGAGAAGGCUAUGUUGGCCGGGCGACGGUUGUCCCGGUUUAAGCGUGUAGGCUGAUUUUCCAGGCAAAUCCGGAAAAUCAAGGCUGAGGCGUGAUGACGAGGCACUACGGUGCUGAAGCAACAAAUGCCCUGCUUCCAGGAAAAGCCUCUAAGCAUCAGGUAACAUCAAAUCGUACCCCAAACCGACACAGGUGGUCAGGUAGAGAAUACCAAGGCGCUUGAGAGAACUCGGGUGAAGGAACUAGGCAAAAUGGUGCCGUAACUUCGGGAGAAGGCACGCUGAUAUGUAGGUGAAGCGACUUGCUCGUGGAGCUGAAAUCAGUCGAAGAUACCAGCUGGCUGCAACUGUUUAUUAAAAACACAGCACUGUGCAAACACGAAAGUGGACGUAUACGGUGUGACGCCUGCCCGGUGCCGGAAGGUUAAUUGAUGGGGUUAGCGGUAACGCGAAGCUCUUGAUCGAAGCCCCGGUAAACGGCGGCCGUAACUAUAACGGUCCUAAGGUAGCGAAAUUCCUUGUCGGGUAAGUUCCGACCUGCACGAAUGGCGUAAUGAUGGCCAGGCUGUCUCCACCCGAGACUCAGUGAAAUUGAACUCGCUGUGAAGAUGCAGUGUACCCGCGGCAAGACGGAAAGACCCCGUGAACCUUUACUAUAGCUUGACACUGAACAUUGAGCCUUGAUGUGUAGGAUAGGUGGGAGGCUUUGAAGUGUGGACGCCAGUCUGCAUGGAGCCGGCCUUGAAAUACCACCCUUUAAUGUUUGAUGUUCUAACGUUGGCCCCUGAUCGGGGUUGCGGACAGUGUCUGGUGGGUAGUUUGACUGGGGCGGUCUCCUCCUAAAGAGUAACGGAGGAGCACGAAGGUUGGCUAAUCCUGGUCGGACAUCAGGAGGUUAGUGCAAUGGCAUAAGCCAGCUUGACUGCGAGCGUGACGGCGCGAGCAGGUGCGAAAGCAGGUCAUAGUGAUCCGGUGGUUCUGAAUGGAAGGGCCAUCGCUCAACGGAUAAAAGGUACUCCGGGGAUAACAGGCUGAUACCGCCCAAGAGUUCAUAUCGACGGCGGUGUUUGGCACCUCGAUGUCGGCUCAUCACAUCCUGGGGCUGAAGUAGGUCCCAAGGGUAUGGCUGUUCGCCAUUUAAAGUGGUACGCGAGCUGGGUUUAGAACGUCGUGAGACAGUUCGGUCCCUAUCUGCCGUGGGCGCUGGAGAACUGAGGGGGGCUGCUCCUAGUACGAGAGGACCGGAGUGGACGCAUCACUGGUGUUCGGGUUGUCAUGCCAAUGGCACUGCCCGGUAGCUAAAUGCGGAAGAGAUAAGUGCUGAAAGCAUCUAAGCACGAAACUUGCCCCGAGAUGAGUUCUCCCUGAGACUUAGAGUCUCCUGAAGGAACGUUGAAGACGACGACGUUGAUAGGCCGGGUGUGUAAGCGCAGCGAUGCGUUGAGCUAACCGGUACUAAUGAACCGUGAGGCUUAACCUUACAACGCCGAAG